GUGGGGAAUCUUGCGCAAUGGGCGAAAGCCUGACGCAGCCAUGCCGCGUGAAUGAUGAAGGCCUUAGGGUUGUGAAGCUCUUUCAGCUGGGAAGAUAAUGACUGAACCAGCAGAAGAAGCCCCGGCUAACUCCGUGCCAGCAGCCGCGGUAAUACGGAGGGGGCUAGCGUUGUUCGGAAUUACUGGGCGUAAAGCGCACGUAGGCGGACCGGAAAGUCAGAGGUGAAAUCCCAGGGCUCAACCUUGGAACUGCCUUUGAAACUCCUGGUCUUGAGGUCGAGAGAGGUGAGUGGAAUUCCGAGUGUAGAGGUGAAAUUCGUAGAUAUUCGGAGGAACACCAGUGGCGAAGGCGGUUCACUGGCUCGAUACUGACGCUGAGGUGCGAAAGCGUGGGGAGCAAACAGGAUUAGAUACCCGUGUAGUCC
rnacentral:rRNA from 1 species